rnacentral:rRNA from 1 species
AUGACAAGUUUGGAGUUGUUUCACACGCCAUUUAACACUUGCCAUGGUCACUUUAAGAUUUGUUGCCAUUUCAAGUUUAAAUGUUUUCCCCACACGCAAAUUAAAAGAGCAUGCUAUAUUUUUUCUUUUUUGCCCAUGGCAAAUUUAUUUCUAUGUCCAUGUCAUUUUUAUUGCUUGAACCAUGUAAUUUUUUUACUAACCAUGGCAACUUUAUUGUUUGCACUAUGCAAGCAAUCUGAUACGACAACUUACAGUGUGUUUUGCCAUGGCAAAUUUAAGUUGCGUUCUUACCAGGCAAAUAAAGAUGUGUUUCCACGACAAGUUUGGAGUUCUUGA